rnacentral:misc_RNA from 1 species
UGGCACCAGAUUCGGGCUAGUGCCUGCG